rnacentral:rRNA from 1 species
UACGUAGGGGCAAGCGUUAUCCGGAUUUACUGGGUGUAAAGGGAGCGCAGACGGUAUGGUAAGUCAGAUGUGAAAGCCCGGGGCUCAACCCCGGGACUGCAUUUGAAACUAUCAAACUGGAGUGCAGGAGAGGUAAGUGGAAUUCCUAGUGUAGCGGUGAAAUGCGUAGAUAUUACACAGAACACCGAUUGCGAAGGCAGCUUACUAAUCCAUCAUUGACGCUGAGGCACGAAAGCGUGGGGAUCAAACAGGAUUAGAUACCCGGGUA